rnacentral:rRNA from 1 species
AUGGCGAGACCCAUGGACUGCGACCAGGUCCUCGAGCUCCAGAACGUGUCCCUGGACACCCUCUUCCUCAUCGUCCUCCAGGCCGUCGUCGUCAUCGCCCUCGGCAAGUUCAUCCACCUCUCCCUCCGCCGCCACAACCAGCCCAGCGCCAUCUCCCAGAUCCUCGCGGGUAUCAUGGUGGGGAGCCUGGGGCUGCACGAGGUGAUCGUGCACGUGGCCGUGGUGAACGUGGAGGACACGUACGGGUGGUACGUCUCCCAGGCGCGCAUCUUCUACAUGUUCUACGUCGGCCUCGACGCCGACCUCGCCUCGCUCUGGAACGACAAGCACCGCUGCACCAUCGCCACCUACGCCAGCGUCGCCACCUGCCUGCUCCUCGCCGCCUUCGUCUCGGGGGGCCUGUACGGCAGCAUGAUGCACACUCCCGUCCGCUCGCCCGAGCUGCUCGCCGCCGUGCUCAUGCUCACGCUCGCCAACACCUCCUCCGUCGACGUCUCCCGGAUGGCCGCCGAGCUCGGCCUCACCGCCACCGCCACCGGCCGGCUCGUCGUCGGUGCCGCCAUCGCCACCAACGUCAUCUGCAUCGUCGGGGAGGGCGCCUUCUCCUGCAUGAAGCUGGCAUCCGGAAGGACCCCAGGCUACACCGCGUCCCAGCGGCUCGGGCUCGGCGUGCUCGCGCUCUUCAAGGUCGGCCUCGCGCUCGCGCUGCUCCGCCCAGCCGUGGAGUUCAUGAACCGGCGCAACGCGGGGCGGCACCGCAUCGGGAACUGGGAGCUGGCGCUCAUCCUCAUCGCCGUAUCCUACAUCGGCGACUUCCCGCGGCAAGUCGGCUUCGACGGCAUGCCGGCGAGCCUCGUACUGGGGCUGGCGUUCCCCAGGGAGGGCCCCGUGGCGAGGACCGUCACGCACGCGCUUGCGUACCCGCUGCACGCGCUGGCCCUGCCCUUCUAUUUCGGGACCAUGGGGAUGCGGCUCAACUUUAGCGCCAUGUCCGGCGCCGUCGUCGUGCCCGCCGUCCUCCUCACCAUCCUCGGUCUCAUCGGCAAGUGCGCCGGCACCAUGGGCGCCGCCAGGUUCCUCCACAUGCCGCUCGGGGACGCCGCGCGCCUCGGCGUCCUGCUUAACAUCAAGGGCCACGUCAACAUGAUCGACAUGAGCUUCGCCAGCUCCGAGGGGAUUUGGGCGGAGCAGGCGCUCAUGGCCAUGGUGAUGGGCAGCAUGAUCAGCACCGUCAUCGCCGGGCCGGUGUUCGCCGUUGUGUACCGCAGGGAGAGGGAGGCGUAUCUGAGCAACGACCACAGGACGCUGGAGCGGCUGGUCCCGGACCAGGAGGAGGAGCUGCGGAUGCUCGCCUGCGUGCACGGCGCGCGCGCCGCGCCGGCGAUGCUCAGCCUCGUCGAGUUGCUGGCGAGCAAUCCCGCCGUGCAGCCCGCUGUGCACGUCCUGCACUUCUACGACGCUGUGCGCAAGCACGAACGCGCGGGCACCGGCGGCGCCAAACGCUACCACGAGCGGGUCCAGCUCGACAGCGACAAGCACUGGGAUCGCAUGGACGACGCCGCCACGCAGGUGAAUUGGACCGUCGACUUGUUCGCCUCCAUCACCGGUCUCGUCAUCCGGCAGGUCGACAAAGGCGACCGCGGCCCCGUCACGAACUUGAAGACCAUCCGCCGCUGCACGGAGGAGGUCCACGCCGACGUCCUGAUCAUGCCCUACCACAAGGAGCAGCACUACGACGGCAAGAUGUUCUGCCGGUGUGAGGAGCGCCGCCAGCUCAACCUGAACGUGCUUGAGCGCGCCCCGUGCACCACCGGCAUCCUCGCCGACCGCCCGUUCCGGAGAGGCGGCACCAGCUUCCAGCUACCGACCAAGAUAUCCACGAGCGAGGAGACGCUGGGGAACUGGCGGGAAGACCGGUCCACCGCACCGACGCACGUGGCGGCUGUCUUCCUCGGCGGGCCGGACGACCGCGAGGCCGUGGCCCUCGCCUGCCGCCUUGUCAAGAAUGACACAGUAAACCUGACCGUCAUCCGCUUCGUGGGACCCGGCAAGCACGACCACACCGGCGUCCAGACGGCACGCACCGACGAUCAUGCCGACGGGGAGGUGUCCGUCGUGGUGGACGAUCCCGACGAGUGCUGCAUGGCGGCGCUCCAGCGCGAGUACGUGGCGAAGGAGCUCGCGUCGUACGUUGAGAAGGUGGUGGGCGGCGCGGCGGACGUGGUGGAGGCCCUGCGCAGGAUGGCCGGGGCGUACGCGCUGGUCGUGGUGGGGCGCGGCGGGCGGCAGCCGGCAGAGCUGGUGGUCGGGCUCGAGGGCGGGGAGAUGGGCCCGGUCGGGGACAUCCUCGCGUCGGGCGAGUCACUGGAGAUGGGCUCCGUGCUCGUCGUGCAGCAGAAGAAGGCCGUGUCGACGGCGUCCGGCCUCGACCCACCACCGGCGGCGGGGGUCUGA